UACGUAGGAGGCAAGCGUUAUCCGGAUUUAUUGGGCGUAAAGAGCGUGUAGGCGGCCAGACAGGUCCGUUGUGAAAACUAGAGGCUUAACCUCUAGACGUCGAUGGAAACCGUCUGGCUAGAGUCCGGAAGAGGAGAAUGGAAUUCCUGGUGUAGCGGUGAAAUGACGCAGAUAUCAGGAAGAACACCCGUGGCUAAGGCGGUUCUCUAGUACGGUACUGACGCUGAGACGCGAAAGCGUGGGGAGCGAACAGG
rnacentral:rRNA from 1 species